GACGAACGCUGGCGGCGUGCUUAACACAUGCAAGUCGAACGGAAAGGCCCUGCUUUUGUGGGGUGCUCGAGUGGCGAACGGGUGAGUAACACGUGAGUAACCUGCCCUUGACUUUGGGAUAACUUCAGGAAACUGGGGCUAAUACCGGAUAGGAGCUCCUGCUGCAUGGUGGGGGUUGGAAAGUUUCGGCGGUUGGGGAUGGACUCGCGGCUUAUCAGCUUGUUGGUGGGGUAGUGGCUUACCAAGGCUUUGACGGGUUGCCGGCCUGAGAGGGUGACCGGCCACAUUGGGACUGAGGUACGGCCCAGACUCCUACGGGAGGCAGCAGUGGGGAAUAUUGCAAAAUGGGCGGAAGCCUGAUGCAGCAACGCCGCGUGCGGGAUGACGGCCUUCGGGUUGUAAACCGCUUUCGCCUGUGACGAAGCGUGAGUGACGGUAAUGGGUAAAGAAGCACCGGCUAACUACGUG
rnacentral:rRNA from 1 species